GACGAACGCUGGCGGCGUGCUUAACACAUGCAAGUCGAACGGAAAGGCCUGCUUUCCCUUGUGGAUUGCGGGUGCUCGAGUGGCGAACGGGUGAGUAACACGUGAGUGAUCUGCCCCCAACUUGGGUAUAAGCCUGGGAAACUGGGUCUAAUUCCCGAUAGGACUGCAGGGUGGUGCCUGUGGUGGAAAACGAUGUUCUAGUGGUUGGGGAUGAGCUCGCGGCCUAUCAGCUUGUUGGUGGGGUAAUGGCCUACCAAGGCGGCGACGGGUAGCCUGCCUGAGAGGGUGGACGGCCACAUUGGGACUGAGAUACGGCCCAGACUCCUACGGGAGGCAGCAGUGGGGAAUAUUGCACAAUGGGCGGAAGCCUGAUGCAGCGACGCCGCGUGGGGGAUGACGGCCUUCGGGUUGUAAACUCCUUUCGACCGCGAGGAAGCCACCUGGUUGGAAGGGUGGUGACGGUAGUGGUAGAAGAAGCACCGGCUAACUACGUG
rnacentral:rRNA from 1 species